rnacentral:rRNA from 1 species
GGUGAACGUUCGUAGCGUGGAUAAGGCAUGCAAAUCGUACGGGUCUAAGAUAGAUUUAUCUAUCUUAGAAUACGUGGUAAACGGGGCAGUAAUGCAUACCUAAUCUACCCCAAGGAUAGACAUAACCUCCGAAAGGAGACUAAUGUCUAAUAAUAAUAUCUCUACACAAGUAGAGGUAUUUAAAGGAUAAGAUUAUUCUUAUCCGCCUUGGGAGGAGGGUAUGUUCGAUCAGCUAGUUGGUGAGGUAAUGGCUCACCAAGGCUAUGACCGAUAGGGGGUCUGAGAGGAUGUUCCCCGCCAAGGGCACUGAGACACGGGCCCUACUCCUACGGGAGGCAGCAGCCGAGAAUAUUGGGCAAUGGGCGAAAGCCUGACCCAGCGACGCUACGUGCCAGAAGAAGCUCUUCGGAGUGUAAAUGGCUUUUCUGCAGGAUGAAGCCUUAUGGUUUUUAACAUAAGGUUGACAGUACUGCAGGAAUAAGGGACGACUAACUCCGUGCCAGCAGUCGCGGUAAGACGAAGGUCCCAAACGUUACCCGGAUUUACUG